GAUGAACGCUGGCGGCGUGCCUAAUACAUGCAAGUCGAGCGAACGGACGAGAAGCUUGCUUUUCUGAUGUUAGCGGCGGACGGGUGAGUAACACGUGGAUAACCUACCUAUAAGACUGGGAUAACUUCGGGAAACCGGAGCUAAUACCGGAUAAUAUUUUGAACCGCAUGGUUCAAAAGUGAAAGACGGUCUUGCUGUCACUUAUAGAUGGAUCCGCGCUGCAUUAGCUAGUUGGUAAGGUAACGGCUUACCAAGGCAACGAUGCAUAGCCGACCUGAGAGGGUGAUCGGCCACACUGGAACUGAGACACGGUCCAGGCUCCUACGGGAGGCAGCAGUAGGCAAUCUUCCGCAAUGGGCGAAAGCCUGACGGAGCAACGCCGCGUGAGUGAUGAAGGUCUUCGGAUCGUAAAACUCUGUUAUGAGUGAAGAACAUAUGUGUAAGUAACUGUGCACAUCUUGACGGUACCUAAUCAGAAAGCCACGGCUAACUACGUG
rnacentral:rRNA from 1 species